UGGCUCAGGACGAACGCUGGCUGCGUGCUUAACACAUGCAAGUCGAACGCUGAAGCCGACAGCUUGCUGUUGGUGGAUGAGUGGCGAACGGGUGAGUAACACGUGAGUAACCUGCCCCUGAUUUCGGGAUAAGCCUGGGAAACUGGGUCUAAUACCGGAUAUGACCUCCUGACGCAUGUUGGGUGGUGGAAAGUUUUUCGAUCGGGGAUGGGCUCGCGGCCUAUCAGCUUGUUGGUGGGGUAAUGGCCUACCAAGGCGACGACGGGUAGCCGGCCUGAGAGGGCGACCGGCCACACUGGGACUGAGACACGGCCCAGACUCCUACGGGAGGCAGCAGUGGGGAAUAUUGCACAAUGGGGGAAACCCUGAUGCAGCGACGCAGCGUGCGGGAUGACGGCCUUCGGGUUGUAAACCGCUUUCAGCAGGGAAGAAGCGAAAGUGACGGUACCUGCAGAAGAAGUACCGGCUAACUACGUGCCAGCAGCCGCGGUAAUACGUAGGGUACGAGCGUUGUCCGGAAUUAUUGGGCGUAAAGAGCUCGUAGGUGGUUGGUCACGUCUGCUGUGGAAACGCAACGCUUAACGUUGCGCGUGCAGUGGGUACGGGCUGACUAGAGUGCAGUAGGGGAGUCUGGAAUUCCUGGUGUAGCGGUGAAAUGCGCAGAUAUCAGGAGGAACACCGGUGGCGAAGGCGGGACUCUGGGCUGUAACUGACACUGAGGAGCGAAAGCAUGGGGAGCGAACAGGAUUAGAUACC
rnacentral:rRNA from 1 species